GGAUUAGAUACCCUGGUAGUCCACGCCGUAAACGAUGAGUGCUAGGUGUCAGCCUCUUAGAGGUUGGUAUCAAAGCUAACGCAUUAAGCACUCCGCCUGAAGAGUACGGUCGCAAGAUUAAAACUCAAAGGAAUUGACGGGGGCCCGCACAGGCGGUGGAGCAUGUGGUUUAAUUCGAAGCAACGCGCAGAACCUUACCAGCCUUUGACUUGGAGGUCGCGCCCUGAGAGAUCAGGGUUUCAGUUCGGCUGGACCUCACACAGGUGCUGCAUGGCUGUCGUCAGCUCGUGUCG
rnacentral:rRNA from 1 species